rnacentral:rRNA from 1 species
CAGUGGGGAAUUUUGGACAAUGGGGGCAACCCUGAUCCAGCCAUCCCGCGUGUGCGAUGAAGGCCUUCGGGUUGUAAAGCACUUUUGGCAGGGAAGAAACGGCGCUCUUUAAUACGGGGCGCAACUGACGGUACCUGCAGAAUAAGCACCGGCUAACUACGUGCCAGCAGCCGCGGUAAUACGUAGGGUGCAAGCGUUAAUCGGAAUUACUGGGCGUAAAGCGUGCGCAGGCGGUUCGGAAAGAAAGAUGUGAAAUCCCAGGGCUCAACCUUGGAACUGCAUUUUUAACUCCCGAGCUAGAGUAUGUCAGAGGGGGGUAGAAUUCCACGUGUAGCAGUGAAAUGCGUAGAGAUGUGGAGGAAUACCGAUGGCGAAGGCAGCCCCCUGGGAUAAUACUGACGCUCAUGCACGAAAGCGUGGGGAGCAAACAGGAUUAGA